rnacentral:lncRNA from 1 species
GAACGGAUGGUUUUUGGGGCAUUUCUGUGGAUAUUCAACAUAUUUCAUGCGGGGAAUCGUCGGUUGUAUCUGGCAACCAGCUAGAGUCAGGAACAAAGCAGUGAAAUGGAGGACGGACAGAGCUGGAUGAUGACUACCGUUAAACUAGAAGAAGAAGAGGAAAAGGAACAAAUAUUAUGGAGGGAAGUGAAGCUGAGUAUGAGUAAGACGGACAGUGAUGAUGAUGAUGAUGAUGAUGAUGAUGAUGAUGAUGAAGGCUGCAGGAGGAAAGCUGUGCUGGAGGAGCUUCGUCAUCCCGACCAUGUGUGGGACGGAAUGUUUGCUCCAAAGAUGGAGAAAAGCGGAGAAGAAGAAACGGAGGAGUUUUCAGAUGUGUGCUCUGUGAAGGAAGAGCAAUGCAUGUCUAAACGUUUUGAUGGAUCACAACAAGCUUUGGAUCUGAACAGUAUUCACACAGACACAGUGAUGCGUUUCCAUCUGCUGAAGCACACAUGACUGAAUGUGGUGACGUUCCUCAACGAGCUGCCAUAAACCCAGCAUGACAUCAUCUCUUUCACCGUGGACGUAAACGCCUACACAGUGAGUUCACGUCUGAUCUGUCACACACUGAGUUACAUUAUUUAUGUUGUUCACUCUCAGCCAAACUGCUUUGUUUUCACAGAAUACGCUGCUGUCAUUCACAGUGGGCGGAGUCUUCAAAGAAGGUCAGUAUCUUAGUCGUCAUGGUUUUAAGAAGAUCCACUGCAACUCAUCUAUUCUCACUAACGCUUUCCUGGCUUUUUCAGUUGUUGUAGAUGAUAAAUCUAAAGAAUCUACAAGGUUUUCAUCACAGUUCCAGCAGUGGAUUCUGGUUUGUGCAUCAUCAACGACCAGCUCUUCAUCAGAAUGGCUACAACGGAGCAGAUCAGCAGAGCUUUUGUGCCCCGCCCCCUUCCUCCAGCCCAGUGCCCACCCUCACUGCCCCACAGCAGGAGAUGCUCAGCACCUUCUCCCUGAAGUCAGACAUGAACCUGGAAUGGUCCCUGAAGUGUCUGCAGGACAACAAGUGGGACUUGAACAAAGCAGCACAUAUCUUCACUCAGUUAAAGGUGACACGACUCUAAACAAUCUACGUCAUGGUUUAAAUGUGCUGAUGUCUAAAGUAGCAACUGUUUCUGUUUCAGACGGUGGGAAAGAUCCCAGACGUGUCG